ensembl:lncRNA
AGCAAUGGAAAUGUGUCUUAGAGGUUUUCAAGUUAUAAGUUUCUUUGUCACCCCCACUAACAUCAGGAACUGGUGCAAAAUGUAGCCAGCUUAUAUUAUGAGGGAAAGAAGGAAAGGAAGAGACUGGAAAUCCGAGGCUGAAGCAGAAAGAAUGGUGAACUGAGCUAAAAUGGGACUCAUUGUGGUUUUUAAACUUCCCAAAUGUUCUGAUUCUCUGCACCACUCUGACAAGGAAUGAAUUACUCUUAAGUAUUCCACAGUCUCCAUCCUCUUUUGGUUGCAGCUCUGUUGUAUAUACAGGCUCAGGCCAAAACCAAUAGCCACAGGUGGAGGUAUUAAAAUAAUGGAAAAUCAAUCCAAUACUGCAUCCUGAGCAUGUAUUCAGGGACAUAGCUUAGAAACCACUGUCCAUAAUAUAGGAGUUUGCCUUGAGUUUCACAUCACUUUUAAAGGGAAUGACAUUAAAUUUCACACAUGGACAUGUUUGUGGCCUAAAAUACCACACUGUUCUAGGCCUGUGGCUUUUAAAAAAAACUGUAAUUUAGGAAU